rnacentral:rRNA from 1 species
GACGAACGCUGGCGGCGUGCUUAACACAUGCAAGUCGAACGGAAAGGCCCUGCUUUUGUGGGGUGCUCGAGUGGCGAACGGGUGAGUAACACGUGAGUAACCUGCCCUUGACUUUGGGAUAACUUCAGGAAACUGGGGCUAAUACCGGAUAGGGGCUCCUGCUGCAUGGUGGGGGUUGGAAAGUUUCGGCGGUUGGGGAUGGACUCGCGGCUUAUCAGCUUGUUGGUGGGGUAGUGGCUUACCAAGGCUUUGACGGGUAGCCGGCCUGAGAGGGUGACCGGCCACAUUGGGACUGAGAUACGGCCCAGACUCCUACGGGAGGCAGCAGUGGGGAAUAUUGCACAAUGGGCGGAAGCCUGAUGCAGCAACGCCGCGUGCGGGAUGACGGCCUUCGGGUUGUAAACCGCUUUCGCCUGUGACGAAGCGCGAGUGACGGUAAUGGGUAAAGAAGCACCGGCUAACUACGUG